rnacentral:tRNA from 1 species
GGUAGCUCAGUAGGAUAGAGCAACGGCCUUCUAAGCCGUCGGUCGGGGGUUCGAAUCCCUCUCA